rnacentral:tRNA from 1 species
GAAAUAUACAACAAAAGCUUCUAACUUUUUAUAAAAUGACUAAAAUUCAUUUAUAUUUCU